UACGGGGGUGCAAGCGUUAUUCGGAUUAUUGGCGUAAGGUGCGUAGGCGGUUUGUAAGUCAGAUGUGAAUCCGGGGCUUAACUUCGGAACUAGCAUUUGAUACUGCAAGACUUGAGUAUGGGAGAGGAGAGCGGAAUUCCUGGUGUAGAGGUGAAAUUCGUAGAUAUCAGGAGGAACACCGGUGGCGAAGGCGGCUCUCUGGACCAAUACUGACGCUGAGGCACGAAGGCGUGGGGAGCAAAC
rnacentral:rRNA from 1 species